UACGUAGGGUGCAAGCGUUAAUCGGAAUUACUGGGCGUAAAGCGUGCGCAGGCGGUUCGUUGUGUCGGCGGUGAAAGCCCCGGGCUCAACCUGGGAAUGGCCGUUGAAACUGGCGAACUGGAGUGUGGCAGAGGGGGGUGGAAUUCCGCGUGUAGCAGUGAAAUGCGUAGAGAUGCGGAGGAACACCGAUGGCGAAGGCAGCCCCCUGGGCUGACACUGACGCUCAGGCACGAAAGCGUGGGGAGCGAACAGG
rnacentral:rRNA from 1 species